GGGCAUGUGCUACGGUAGAUUGUUUAACAUCUGACAGAAUUUUUUAUACCCUGAAGGCCCUGAGGAACACUCUCCAAAGCUGAAAUUCCUCCUCUUCAUCAUGAUUAUUUUAUGCCAUUGAUAAUUAAGCAUGCAAUUGUUGUGUAAUGAUACAGCAUGCUUUAAUGUGAUUUAUCCAGACAGACAUUCAGACAGAAGCUGAUGAAAAAUAGAAACAGAAGAGGGAGGAUCUCUUGUAAAUAAUGGAGAAAGAGAGAGCUGUGAGGGGGAGACAUCAGCAGUAGAUGACGAUGGAGAAAGAGGAGGGCAUAAUCAGGUAUGAUGAGAAGAAAACCACGCAAGGAAACCUUUUGUAUUUCUGCAAAACCUCAUGGUUUUAACGAGUGCACUGACCUUACUUUUAUAAAGUGUUUCACUCUUGAUUAUUUUUAGACAAAUGUCUAAAAAAGAUCACUGAGUGCAGCGGAGUUCCGCAGCUUAAGCUGACUCCUCCUCUUGACUGGUGAGCGUGCGCAUUGCUUCAUUCCCUUCCCUGCUGUUGAACUGUGUGUAGCAUUUUGUUCCUCCUGUUAGCGUUCUUGCUGUUUGGGUUAUUAUCUCUCUUUAAUCAAUCAAUACAUCUGUUUGUUUAAAAGUCUGUAAGUAUAUCUGAUAGUUUUCACCAAGCACGUCUUUAUCUCCAUUCCGGGUGAUCUCUCUGGUAGUUUACUUUACUAGCUCUUAGCUUCUCUUAGCUUAGCUUCACUUGCUAACGAUGGCUUCCCCCUGGUCUCCUGCUUCCCCUGCUCGCUUCUGCUCAGUGUGUCAGAUGUUUAGUUACUCCUCGUCCUGUUAGGUGUUGUGCAUAGGUGGACCCAGAGCAGAGGCUGAAUCAGAUCAGGAUUUCAACAAACAGUGAUUUUUAUUUACAUGUGAGUAAAAAGUAAACAAAGCAAUGAUGGUGGUGGUGGCGGGAGCUCGUGGAGACCUGGAAAAAACGAGAAAGAGAGAAGGAGUUAGUCCAGGGGUAAAAUGAGCAUGAAUCCACAACAGUCAUCAAAAAAUGAAGCACAAGAUAAUCUCCGUGAGGGGAGAAGAGGCUUAAGGCCAGCACAAACGUAGUGAACGAACCACUUAGUCAGGCAAUCAGCCGGCACCGAGAAGAUUCCUUCCUGGGCUCUUGUAGGCAGGUAAUCAGACCGGAAUUAGCAGCAGGUGAGGUCUCCAGCAGGUGAUCAGCUCCCGCGGUGCCACCCAUGCAGGAAGUGAAGAGAGGGAUCCUGAGCAGCCUACAGCGCCGCUCAGGCGAAGUGGAUAAAGGGGGGAAGACAGCCCGAGAGGGGAGGGCAAAGAGGAGCAAAACUGGAGGACUGGGGACCAGUCCUCACAGUACCCCCCCCUCAACGGACGUCUCCCGACGUCCUACCCGGCUUGUCGGGGUGGUCAUGGUAGAAGUCCCGGAGGAGGUUGCCAUCAAGGAUGAGACCGCGGGGGAUCCAUGACCUCUCCUCAGGUCCAUAUCCCUCCCAGUCGACCAGGUACUGGAAUCCUCGCCCCCGCGGCCUGACGUUCAAAAUCCGGGAUACUGUAAACGCCGGAUGGUCAUCAAUGAGUCGGGGGGGUGGAGGGGGCUCGGCCGGAGGGCAGAGCUCGCUGGUCUCCACUGGCUUGAGAAGAGAGACGUGGAAUGUGGGAUGGACCCUCAGGGAAGCUGGCAACCUGAGUCUCACGGCAGAGGGGUUAAUAAUCUUCUCCACCGGAAAAGGACCAAUAAAAUGAGGGGCCAACUUACUAGCCUCCACCUGGAGGGGCAGGUCCCGAGAAGAUAACCACACCAUCUGGCCAGGACGAUACGAAGGAGCCGGUUGACGAUGGAGAUCAGCACUGCGUUUGGUUCUCUCAGUGGUAGCGGACAGAGCCUCUCGAGCCCUCCUCCAUACCUCCUUCAGACGCUUAAUGUGAGCCCCCACAGAAGGAACAGCGACCUCUCUCUCCUGUUCUGGAAACAACGGGGGUUGGUAACCAAAACAAACUUGGAACGGAGACAUACCCGUAGACGAACAGGAGAGGGCGUUGUGGGCGUACUCCACCCAAGGAAGAUGGUUGCUCCAGGUAACUGGGUGAUGGGCUGCGACGCAGCGUAAAGCACUCUCGAGGUCCUGAUUGGCCCGCUCAGUCUGGCCGUUGGUCUGCGGGUGGAAACCCGAGGAGAGGCUGACUGCUGCGCCCAAUGCCUGGCAGAAAUCCCUCCAAACACGAGAGGCAAUAUCCUGAGGGACUCCAUGCAGUUUGAACACGUGAGUGAUUAAAAGGUUAGCUGUCUCCAGUGCGGUAGGCAAUUUAGGGAGUGGUACAUAAUGGACCAUUUUGGAGAAGCGAUCCACUAUGGUGAGGAUGACAGUGUUACCUUGUGAGGGGGGCAACCCGGUGACAAAGUCCACAGCAAUGUGAGACCAAGGGCGACUGGGCACCGGCAGGGGGCGCAGCAGACCAGCUGGUGGCUUGUGGGAGGCCUUUCCCCGGACACAGACUGAGCAGGCAGCCACGAACUCCCGAGUGUCUCGAGCCAUUGAGGGCCACCAAAACCUCUGCCGGAGGAAAGACAGGGUGCGAUUAAUACCGGGGUGACAGCUUAGUUUGGAGAACCUCCGACCGAACGGAGUCAGGAACAAACAGGAGAUUGGGGGGACCAGUUUCGGGAUCCGGAUGACGUGUCUGGGCCUCCCUAACAACACGCUCCACGUCCCAAUGAGCGGCACCCAGGAUGCAGGAGGGAGGAAGGAUGGAAGAAGGACCCUCAGGCUCCGAUGGAGGGGAGAAGACCCGGGAGAGAGCAUCAGGCUUGGUGUUCUUGGAUCCGGGGCGAUAUGAAAUGGAGAAGUUAAAACGACUCAGGAAAAGAGACCACCUGGCCUGCCUCGGGUUGAGCCGUUUUGCUGUCCGGAGAUACGCCAGGUUCUUAUGGUCCGUCCAGAUCAAAAAAGGCUUCUCCACGCCCUCCAGCCAGUGUCUCCACUCUUGUAGAGCUCCCACCACCGCUAAGAGUUCUCGGUUUCCCACGUCGUAAUUUCGCUCUCCGGGAGAAAGGCGACGAGAAAAAAAAGCACAAGGGUGCAGCUUGUUGGUAGUUGGGUCUCGCUGGGAGAGGAUAGCACCGAUGCCGGAGUCAGAGGCGUCCACCUCCACCACGAACUGUAGAGAGGGGUCAGGGUGCAGGAGUACAGGGGCAGAGGUGAACAAUGUCUUGAGGUCCUGGAAGGCGCUGUCAGCCUCGUCUGACCAACAGAAGGGGACCUUGACAGAGGUGAGCUGAGUGAGAGGUUUAGCUACGCUACUGUAGUUACGAAUAAAUCUACGGUAGAAGUUAGCAAAACCUAAAAACCGCUGUAACUCCUUACGGGUGGUAGGGGUGGGCCAACUGAUCACAGCUUGGAUCUUGCAAGGGUCGGGGCGUAACUGACCAGCCUCUAUGAUAUAACCUAAAAAACUGACUCUGGACGCAUGAAACUCGCAUUUCUCAGGCUUUACAUAGAGACGGUUUUCGAAGAGACGCUGGAGAAUGAGACGGAGGUGCUGACGAUGCUCAUCUUGAUUCUUGGAGAAUAUCAAGAUGUCAUCGAGGUAAAUGAAAACAAACUUAUUCAGCACGUCCCGGAAAAUGUCAUUCAUAAAUGACUGAAAAACUGCCGGAGCAUUGGUGAGACCAAAAGGCAUCACCAAAUACUCAAAAUGUCCCAUGGGUGUGUUAAAGGCAGUUUUCCAUUCAUCUCCCUCUCUGAUCCGGAUGAGAUGAUACGCGUUUCUAAGAUCAAGUUUGGAGAAGAUCUUAGCAUGACACAGGGGCUCAAAUGAGGGAUCGAUAAGAGGAAUGGGAGACUUAUCUUUAAUGGUUAUGUCGUUAAGACCACGGAAAUCGACGCACGGCCGAAGUGAAGAAUCCCUCUUACCCACGAAGAAAAAACCCGCCCCUACGGGAGACGAAGAAGGCCGAAUUAACCCGGAAGCCAACGACUCGGAAAUGUAAGUCUGCAUGGAAUCCUUCUCUGAACGAGACAGGUUGUAAAGUCGGCCAGAAGGUAAGGGGGCGCCAGGGAGCAGGUUAAUCACGCAGUCGUAAGGACGGUGCGGAGGCAGUGUCUUAGCCAGAUCUUUACUAAAUACCUGUGCUAAGUCAUGAUAGCAAGAGGGUACCGAAGAAAGAUCAGGAGGUGCCGGUGUAACCGAAGGAGGGUUAACGACUGCCGACUGCAAACAAAAAGAGUGACAAUGAGUGCUCCAACUGACAAUAGAGGACGUGACCCAGUUAAUGUGAGGACUAUGCAGUUUAAACCAAGGCAGCCUGAGAAUAACUGGGGAACAGGGAGACGAAAUGACAAAAAACUUAAUUUUCUCGGAAUGAUUACCGGAAAGUAGUAAGGUGAGGUGAACUGUCUCAAAUUUAAACCUCCGAAAUGACUCGACCGUCCAAUGCCAGAACCUGUUUAGCCUGAGAAAGCGAGUUGGUGGGAAUAUUGUGAACUUUAACAAAGGCCUCAUCAAUAAAAUUAUCAUCCACGCCAGAGUCAAGAAAAACUGAAGUCUUAAUAACGGAGGAGGGAAAACUAAGAGAGGCAGGAAACGUGGACCUGGAAGAAGGGCUUCUGGGGGUUGAUAGCCGACUCACCAUUACGCCCUUGCUUAAUGAUGAGUCCUGUCUUUUAACAGAAGGGGGCAGGACUGAAGGGAAUGCUCCGCUCCUCCACAGUAAAGGCAGAGAUUCUCCACUCUCCGUCUUCUUCUCUCCCUUAGACUCAGCCGAGUCUUGCCCAACUGCAUGGGCUCCUCCGAGUCAGCAGGGGGAGCAGUAGCAGGUGGCGUAGGUGCAGGUGGAGUAAGUUGGCCUAGAGUAGGGCGAGCAGUGGAAACCACAUGACCAGAAGGGGGAGUCUGACGGGGAGCACUAGCAGCCCUCUCCCUGUCUCUCUCUCUCAAUCUACCGUCUAUUUUAAUCGCUAGAUCAAACAGUUCCUGUAGUGAGUCUGGCUCAUCCCUAGUUGCCAAUUCAUCCUUCAAUUCCUCCGAAAGCCCCUUGACAAAUAACGCCUUUAAUGCAGCCUCGUCCCAACCACACCUCCCAGCCAAAAUUUGGAAAUCGACCGCAAAGCUAGCCACCGAUUGACCCCCCUGAGAUAAUGCCAGGAGCUGUUUAGCAGCAUCUUGGCCCAGAACCGGGUGAUCAAAAACCCUACGUAGUUGGGCAGAAAAUGUCUCAAAUGAAUUAAGAACACUGGAUCCCCCCUCCCAUAAGGCUGUGGCCCACUUUGCGGCUCUACCCCCAAGGAGAUUAAUGGUAUAAGCAAUAUUGGCCUCAUCGGAGGCAUAACUGUAGGGCUGGAGCUUAAACACAAGGCUACAAUUAAACAAAAAAAACGGCUACAGGACCCAAAAUCACCCGAAAAUGGCUCAGGGUGUGAAACAAACGGUUCUUUAAAAUGAACCGAGUCUGGAGAGAGAGCGGCAGGGGGAGAAGCCGGCGCGGCACUCACCGCAGUAGCAGGGGGGCCUCUGGCCUCAAUCAGCUGAGCGCUAAUCUGUUGCAUUUGGCAAGUCAUCUCCUCCAAAGUUCCAGUCACUCCCUUGAGAAGCGAAUCAUGUUGUCCCAAAAGUGUUCCAUGUGACACCAGAGCGUCCUUGAUUUGAUCCAACCUCGCGGACUCCAUAACGAGGCCAGCUGAUUCUGUUAGGUGUUGUGCAUAGGUGGACCCAGAGCAGAGGCUGAAUCAGAUCAGGAUUUCAACAAACAGUGAUUUUUAUUUACAUGUGAGUAAAAAGUGAACAAAGCAAUGAUGGUGGUGGUGGCGGGAGCUCGUGGAGACCUGGAAAAAACGAGAAAGAGAGAAGGAGUUAGUCCAGGGGUAAAACGAGCAUGAAUCCACAACAGUCAUCAAAAAAUGAAGCACAAGAUAAUCUCCGUGAGGGGAGAAGAGGCUUAAGGCCAGCACAAACGUAGUGAACGAACCACUUAGUCAGGCAAUCAGCCAGCACCGAGAAGAUUCCUCCCUGGGCUCUUGUGGGCAGGUAAUCAGACCGGAAUUAGCAGCAGGUGAGGUCUCCAGCAGGUGAUCAGCUCCCGCGGUGCCACCCAUGCAGGAAGUGAAGAGAGGGAUCCUGAGCAGCCUACAGCGCCACUCAGGCAAAGUGGAUAAAGGGGGGAAGACAGCCCGAGAGGGGAGGGCAAAGAGGAGCAAAACUGGAGGACUGGGGACCAGUCCUCACACGUCCUCCUGAGACGAUAACGAUACUUGCUUUAAGUGCAGUUUAUUCUUAGCUCUAGAGGCGAGGAUUACAGAGUUAGAAAAGCAACUCCACACCGAUGCUAGAGUAGCGGUAGCCAGCCAGGACACGGUAGCCGGUGCGGGUCGGCCUAGCUUAGCUCCCCCGCACCUCUGUACUCCCUUCAGAGCAGCUUCCUAGCUACAAUCAGUUUGAUAUAGAGAUCAGGGAGCAUAGCUGCAGUUCUACACGUUCCUCUACACUUUUGUUAGAGCAGCCUCCUGGCUACUGUCACUUUAAUAUAGAGACUGUGUCUGUCCCUUGUCCUCGGCUCUUUAAUUCUAACUGAUCGAUUAACAAAGGAGUAAAUAACAAGAAUCUUACUAGAAUUAUAACUGCUAACAUGGCUGAACUGAGUAGUAGUAAGAUAAAAUGUGGUCUACUGAACACAACGUCUCUAAGUUCCAAAUCUGUGUUAUUAAAUGAACUAAUCUCUGAUCAUCGCAUUGAUUUACUCUCCCUAACCAAAACUUGGCUGCGUCAGGAUGAAUAUGUCAGCUUGAAUGAAUCAACUCCUACUAGCCCCCUAAGCUCUCACAUUCCUCGGGACUCUGGCCGAGGUGGUGGAGUUGCAGCUAUUUACAAUUCCAGUCUUGGAAUUAACCCAAGACCAAAACUGGAUUAUAACUCUUUUGAAAGUCUUGUUCUCAGUCUUCCGCAUCCAGCCUCAAAGAACACGAGACCACUGGUAUUUGCUAUAGUUUAUCGCCCUCCGAGCCCAUACCCAUUUUGUCAGAAUUCUAUCUGAUCUAGUCCUUCGUGCAGACAAAGUCAUUGUCGUUGGUGACUUUAAUAUUCAUGUGGAUGUGGAAAAUGAUAGCCUAAGCAUUUCUUUCUUGUCCUUGCUAGACUCAAUCUGGUUUACACAGUGUGUACAUGGACCUACGCACUGCUUUAACCACACCCUCGAUCUUGUCCUGGCUUAUGGCCUUAAAGCUGAAGCCUUGUCAGUCAGCUCAUUAAAUCUUCUUUUAUCAGAUCACUUUCUAGUAACUUUUGAAUUUGUGCUUUGAGGCUACUCUCCUCAUAACAAAACCGUGCUAACUAGAAGGUUGUCUGAAAAUGCUGUGACUAAGUUCAAGGAGGCAAUUCUAUCUGCUCUUAAUUCUGUGCUUGAGAAGAACUUCACUGAUAGCUCAUACUUGAACUUAAGUCCCUUGCAACUUGAUCAGUUCGUCGAUGAUACCUCAGGCACAUUGCGAUCAAUUCUUGACUCAGUUGCUCCUCUACGACAGAAAACUCUUACACGUGAGAGGCUGGCUCCGUGGUAUAAUGCUGAAAUCCGUGAGCUGAAACAGUUAUUAAGAAGACGAGAAAGGAUUUGGCGCUCUUCCAAAACAGCUGAACCUCUUUUUCUCCGGCAGGAAUGUCUUGAUAAAUAUAAGAAGACCUUACGUAGUGCUGGACGAUAAUUCGAUAACAAUAUAUAUCGAUCGAUAGACGUGUGCUGCGAUAGAAAAAAAACGGGUCGAUAAAAAGUUCGAUAGAAAAACACAGUUUCCCUUUCUUUUUCAUCAUAGCCUAUCAUGUAGCUUUUGCUACAGUCAUUACUUCCUCCCAACCAAUCACAAACGCAGACCCAGGUACGCUACGGCACCAAGCCCAGCCCCUAUCAAACCACAACAGACAGCACGUGUAUUAGAAAAAAUGAUACAGCAAGGAGAAGCGGAGGACAUUGUCAGUAGUUCACCAGCAUGGCAAUGUUUUGGUUUUUAGAAGUCUGACAAAAAGCGAACAGCGGUCGUUUGCAAAAUUUGCAGAGAAUUAGUAAAAACCAAGUCUGGUAACACAACCAACUUGUUUUACCAUCUAAACCGGUCGCACCCGCAGGAGUACGAGCUGUGUCGGCCGCGCCGCGGCUCCACGUCGUCGGAGGAGGAAUCCUCUGGAACCGCUGCCAGCACCAGCACAAAGCAAGUGAAGCAGACCAAACUGGACUUCGUUUCUUGCCAAAAUACGACAAAAGCGUCCGAGCGGCAUAAGGACAUCACCCAUGCAGUAACAUGCUGCAUAGCGAGGGACAUACUGCCAAUAACUACCGUUGAAAAGCCUGGCUUCGACCAGCUUCUAGCCACUCUCGACCCGUGAUAUGAAGUGCCCGGCCGCAAGUAUUUCUCAAACACAGCGCUUCAGGCAUGAAAAUGGGUCAGGGGUUGAAAAGGUGAGAAGAAUGCACCCCUGCAUCCCGUCCACUCAUUAGCUUCUUAAAGUGGAAGAAAAUGAGCUCAUAUUUUACAAAGACGCGAGUAUUUGGAUCAUGGCUACUAGCAGGGGGUGCAUUCGGCAGGGGUGCAUUCUACGACACAACACCGGCGUGGAUAAGUCCUGCUUCUCGUGCUCAGUUUGCGUAUCAAGUCAAUCACAUGAUAAUUAAAAAAAUAAAUCUCCCGACCCCGGGAGAAAUAUUUCAGUGUUCAGACACCAGGCUGUGGGCAGUUUCUCACACAGUUAAAACUGGUAGUAUGUUAUUCCCACCUAAAGCUAUUCUGUUUAUUUAUAUAUUUGUUUGUUUUGUUUAUUUUCAUCAAAAGACUAUUUAAAUAUUUAUUUAUCAGAUUUUCUGGUCACUUUAGUCUUUAUGUUUGUCAGUAUUUACUGACAUCACUCAGGCCCCUUAAGUUGAUUUCUUUUUUUUUUAGUUCUUUUUUAAAAAACUUUCAGUUGUGGUAAAAUAAAAAAGGUGGUUGAAUAAAGGUUUGAAUUUGAAUUCAGUGCUUCUGUGUUCUUUAUUAAAAGUAGGUCAUUAAGCAAUAGCAUAUAACAUCCAGGGCUGCAAUUAAAACAUAUGUUAAAUAAUUAUAAUAAUUAUAUCAAUAAUUAUCGAUAUCGAUCAAUAUGAUUUAUUUUUUAUCGAUAUGCUUUUUUUCUAUAUCGUCCAGGCCUAACCUUACGAUGUGCUCGGACAACUUACUACUCGUCUCUUGUGUCUCUUGUGUUCAGUAUCAAUAUGACAAAAAUACUUCCACAGGUCAUCCUCCCUUCCUUCCAUCCAUUAAGACAUGAUGAGGUAAUGCAUGUUGAUGAAAGAUGAAAGCUCUGUAAACACCAUCCAAACUAGAGAACAAGCAGAAAUCUAAUCAUUACAUCAAAGUGUUGCAGAAACUAAAUAAUACACUUGGAUCAAAAAAUUCUUUUCCAUAAUGAUGCCGACAGUAAAUAUAGUAGUUCAUUUAUUCAUUUUUGUUUUAAAUCGAUUCUUUUCACAGAUACCACAAUACCAGUAUUUAUGACGUCAAUGGAAAACCAUCAUAGCAACAGAAAAUUUUCAUUCCUGUGUCUUAUCAAAUAACAUAAACUGUGAUUAAAAAAAAAGCUCUAUUGAUAGUAAGUACUAAAAAAAAAAAUCUACCCAUGCCAUCCAGUCGAUUUUUAGUAAUCAGUGUUGCCGUGUCGAACUAUUUCCUUUUGUGCAUUUAUUUUUGUCUUGUUACAUCUUUUCCAUUAUUCCAAUUUUGGGGGGCGUGGUAGCAAUUUGAUUGACUUUCAGCCAUUUAUGGCCAUGAUGUGCUGUUUAUAUUUUAUUGCUUUUAUUAACCAGUAGGUUGUCAUUUUUAUGUAUGAAACAUAAACUUUUAGCUAAAUUUACUGUAUAUAUUUCAUUGCGCUGGGUGCAAAUCCCUCGAGUUGAGACGUUUUCUUCAAGAAAUUUGCUACAUUUCAUAAUCUGAAUUCACUUAUGCAUAAACUAAGGCACCAAUAACUAUUUCAGAUAUUAGGUAGAUGUAUUUAUGACAUUUGAGAAAGAUUUUGUCUUGCCAGAAUCAACAUAGCAGUUUCUACAAGCAAAAACAGCAGCACCAUAUAAUUGUUUUUUGGGUUACUCACAUAUAUGUACAUUUCUGGCUGGUGACAAAAGUCGGACAGAUAGUCUGAGUAGAUAUUUUAACCCAAAGUCUAGAAUGGUA
rnacentral:lncRNA from 1 species